CACCGGUGGCCCGAGUGGUGAUCGUGUUUAUUGGGUCUAAAGGGUCCGUAGCCGGUUUGGUCAGUCCUCCGGGAAAUCUGACGGCUUAACCGUUAGGCUUUCGGGGGAUACUGCCAGGCUUGGAACCGGGAGAGGUAAGAGGUACUACAGGGGUAGGAGUGAAAUCUUGUAAUCCCUGUGGGACCACCUGUGGCGAAGGCGUCUUACCAGAACGGGUUCGACGGUGAGGGACGAAAGCUGGGGGCACGAACCGGAUUAGAUACCCGGGUAGUCCCAGCCGUAAACGAUGCUCGCUAGGUGUCAGGCAUGGCGCGACCGUGUCUGGUGCCGCAGGGAAGCCGUGAAGCGAGCCACCUGGGAAGUACGGCCGCAAGGCUGAACU
rnacentral:rRNA from 1 species